AAUUCGAUGCAACGCGAAGAACCUUACCUGGUCUUGACAUCCCGGAGACCCUUAGGAAACUAGGGGGUGCUUCCAUCUGGAAGAAUCUGGAGACAGGUGCUGCAUGGCUGUCGUCAGCUCGUGUCGUGAGAUGUUGGGUUAAGUCCCGCAACGAGCGCAACCCUUGCCUUUAGUUGCCAGCAGUUCGGCUGGGCACUCUAAAGGGACUGCCGGUGUUAAACCGGAGGAAGGUGGGGAUGACGUCAAGUCCUCAUGGCCUUUAUGACCAGGGCUACACACGUACUACAAUGGCCGAUACAAAGGGCAGCGACACUGCGAGGUGAAGCCAAUCCCGUAAAAUCGGUCUCAGUCCGGAUUGGAGUCUGCAACUCGACUCCAUGAAGCUGGAAUCGCUAGUAAUCGCGCAUCAGCCAUGGCGCGGUGAAUACGUUCCCGGGCCUU
rnacentral:rRNA from 1 species